AGUUAAUUAGCUUAAUAAUAAAGCAUAUAUCUUGAAAAUAUAAGUAAGAUUAUAAUAAAUCUAUUAACUU
rnacentral:tRNA from 3 species